rnacentral:rRNA from 1 species
GAGUAUCAAUUGGAGGGCAAGUCUGGUGCCAGCAGCCGCGGUAAUUCCAGCUCCAAUAGCGUAUAUUAAACUUGUUGCAGUUAAAAAGCUCGUAGUUGAAUUUCUGCUGCAUCGUGGUUCUUCGCUAUGUCGAGUGGGCCUCGUUGUGGCUUAGUUGGGGCAUGUUUUCAUGACUCGACGUUUACUUUGAGAAAAUUAGAGUGCUUCAAGCAGGCUUUUGCCUUGAAUACUUUAGCAUGGAAUAAUGGAGUAGGACUUUGGUUCUAUUUUGUUGGUUUUAGGAGCCGGAGUAAUGGUUAAUAGGAACAGUUGGGGGCAUUCGUAUUUGACUGUCAGAGGUGAAAUUCUU